UGUCCCAUUAUAUUGCAAAACAGAGGUGUCAGAAUGCAACACUCCACAACUCACUAUACUCCCACGACACAGAACUCGACCCGGUCGGACCUCUACAGGAACUUCAGGCUUCUGAUUGGCCAACAUGGCUAAAUGGUUAGGGUUAUAUCGCCACCUGUUGGUUUGGCAUGCUCUUGA